UACGUAGGCAGCGAGCGUUGUUCGGAGUUACUGGGCGUAAAGGGUGUGUAGGCGGUUGUUUAAGUUUGGUGUGAAAUCUCCCGGCUCAACCGGGAGGGUGCGCCGAAUACUGAAUGACUAGAGUGCGGGAGAGGAAAGUGGAAUUCCUGGUGUAGCGGUGAAAUGCGUAGAUAUCAGGAGGAACACCGGUGGUGUAGACGGCUUUCUGGACCAUAACUGACGCUGAGACACGAAAGCGUGGGUAGCAAACAGG
rnacentral:rRNA from 1 species